rnacentral:lncRNA from 1 species
AAAAUAUGACUAAACUCCUGAUAUAACAGAUAGGACUUUAAGGAAAAUUAAUAGCUUAACAAACUCGAUUCUAAAAUAUGAUAAUAGCUUGACAAACUUGACUCUAAAUAUGACUGAACUCCUGAUAUAAUGAUGAUGGAGAUUCCUUUCUUGUUGCCUAUUCACCUCCUAAUGUUUUACAUUUUCGAGGAUAAUUGUGGUGAACACAUAUAUAAUCAAAAUAGUUAUGUUUUGGAAUUUAGACAAAUGGUAAAUAUGCAGAAGUCUCAAAAAAUCUAAAUUUUAACAAUAUGGGAAUACAAUCAAGUGUAUGUUCAACAUUCAGGAGGAGUAACCCAAACAUGACAUAUUACCUAUAAUAUGACUUUCCUUUCAUGAAUUUAACUUGAGGAGAUGACCAAGCAACAGCAAAUGCCACGGUACAUUUUCCAUGUGGUUCAACCCACGCGGAUGCAGAAACUGCAGCACAAUGUGCCUCCCCAGGUAGUACAUUUUCCAUGUGGUUCAACCCAGGCGGAUGCAGAAACUGCAGCACAAUGUGUCUCCCCAGGUGAUGAUGGCAUGCUUGGUCCUUUGCUGAAGUUCUCUCGAUCAAAAUGCCC